AUGGAUCUAGAGGUAACAGAUUAUGUUUUCUAUGUAAUAUUUCAUAGUCUUAAACUUCAAGGAGUAGAUGUAAUGCUAUUGUAUUUUGCCUCCCUCCAUGUUAUCAGUACAGGUGCCAUCUUCUUAUCCCACCGCCGAGCUUCCGCUCAGGAGGCGCCGGAAGGGGGCACCCAGCAGGAGAAGAUCGCUGCACUUGAAGAGAUGAAGGUACGCCAAGGUGAGGAGCGUGUGCAGCUCAAGAUUUUAGUACAAGAUCUUGAAAGUUCCAGAAAGCAGUUGCCUCAAAGUUUCUACUAUUUAUAUCACAGGAUGGAACAAAUGGAGAAGUGA
rnacentral:rRNA from 1 species